CAUUUAAAUCUGUUCAAUGAGUCUCUCAGCAUCUAUGUAGAACUCUUCUGCAUCAUCUUCAUCCACUGCAUGGACUUUGCUUUGUUUCGGGGCUUGAUUUUUGCAGCACCGAGCAUGCCUCAGCCGCUCUGCACAGUUUCAAUGCUUUUUCCAGGUCGAGAUUUUAACCGGUGGGUGGCUUGUUCGAAUCCAAGGAUUGUAAGCAAGACACUCCCCAGCCCGUGCGCAGUAAAAGUCUGCUUGGUAAGUGUUCACUGAUGUGUUGAAGGAUGGGAUAAAUGCAGAUAUUGAAUAUCCCCAUUUCCUAAUAUCCUAUCCUAAUUAUUAACGGAAUAUCUUAAGUAUGGGGUGCCGAAUGUAAAAAUUCAGUCACACUUUUUUUGCUGAUAUAUUUUGAAUAUUUAGCUCUCUUUUUUCACAUUUAGCUCACUUUCUUCACAUUUAGCUCACUUUCUUCACAUUUGAGGUACAAAUUAAAUGUUAAAUCUAAAUGUUAAAUCUAAAUCUAAACGCUAAAUC